GAUGAACGCUGGCGGCGUGCCUAAUACAUGCAAGUCGAGCGAACAGACGAGGAGCUUGCUUCUCUGACGUUAGCGGCGGACGGGUGAGUAACACGUGGAUAACCUACCUAUAAGACUGGGAUAACUUCGGGAAACCGGAGCUAAUACCGGAUAAUAUAUUGAACCGCAUGGUUCAAUAGUGAAAGACGGUUUUGCUGUCACUUAUAGAUGGAUCCGCGCCGCAUUAGCUAGUUGGUAAGGUAACGGCUUACCAAGGCAACGAUGCGUAGCCGACCUGAGAGGGUGAUCGGCCACACUGGAACUGAGACACGGUCCAGACUCCUACGGGAGGCAGCAGUAGGGAAUCUUCCGCAAUGGGCGAAAGCCUGACGGAGCAACGCCGCGUGAGUGAUGAAGGUCUUCGGAUCGUAAAACUCUGUUAUUAGGGAAGAACAAAUGUGUAAGUAACUAUGCACAUCUUGACGGUACCUAAUCAGAAAGCCACGGCUAACUACGUG
rnacentral:rRNA from 1 species